UACGUAGGGCGCAAGCGUUGUCCGGAAUUAUUGGGCGUAAAGAGCUCGUAGGCGGCUUGUCACGUCGGGUGUGAAAGACCGGGGCUUAACCCCGGUUCUGCAUUCGAUACGGGCUGGCUAGAGUGUGGUAGGGGAGAACGGAAUUCCCGGUGUAGCGGUGAAAUGCGCAGAUAUCGGGAGGAACACCGGUGGCGAAGGCGGCAUCCUGGACCAAUUCUGACACUGAGGAGCGAAAGCCAGGGGAGCAAACGGG
rnacentral:rRNA from 1 species